CCACUGCCGGCAGAAAGUGGGGAGAUACAGGUUCGGCCCCUGGUCCGCGAAGACGCCACGUGCCCCGGAGCAGCUAAGCCCUUGCAGCACAGUUAUUUGAGCCCCUGCUCAAGAGCCCGGGAACCACAACUGAAGCCCGUGUGCCCCAGAGCCUGUGCUCCGCAAGCAAGAGACACCACCGCAGCGAGAAGCCCGAGCAGCACAGCAGAGACUGGCCUCCGCUCACUGCAGCUGGAGGAAAGCCUGCAGAGCAGUGAAGACCCAGCACAGCCAAAAGUAAAUAAAUAGAAACUUAAAAAGAGGCGAUGAAGAAAGUUCUUCCUUCAGGAGAAUUCCAGAAAACAGAGGCAGAAGGAAAACUAGAAUUGGAUGAUCCCUGAUUUGCAAUCCUUAGUGAGGAACGGACCUCGGUUACGAUCAUUCCGGGCAGGAUCACGCAUCAAACAUGAAGGGGCAGCUUACUGCAAAACUGUGGCAUCAGGACCUACAUAACCAGGGCCAGGUCAAGCGUCAGAACCUGACAAGCGGUUCAUUCACUUUGUCUCUGUGACUCAGCCGUGUUUCUGUACAUACUCGAGUUCACUUCUCUUCACUGUGGUGAGUAGUCCUUUGUGUGAACACGCCCCAGUUCAUCCCCCC
ensembl:lncRNA